rnacentral:tRNA from 1 species
UGUAGCUAGCUCAGUUGGUAGAGUGUUUGCCUCACAUGCACAAAGCCCUGGGUUUAAUCCCCAGAACCACAA